rnacentral:rRNA from 1 species
GCAUGGCGGGUGUUGGAAAGUUUUUCGGUGAAGGAUGGGCUCGCGGCCUAUCAGUUUGUUGGUGAGGUAGUGGCUCACCAAGGCGAUGACGGGUAGCCGGCCUGAGAGGGCGACCGGCCACACUGGGACUGAGACACGGCCCAGACUCCUACGGGAGGCAGCAGUGGGGAAUAUUGCACAAUGGGCGAAAGCCUGAUGCAGCGACGCCGCGUGAGGGAUGACGGCCUUCGGGUUGUAAACCUCUUUCAGCAGGGAAGAAGCGAAAGUGACGGUACCUGCAGAAGAAGCGCCGGCUAACUACGUGCCAGCAGCCGCGGUAAUACGUAGGGCGCAAGCGUUGUCCGGAAUUAUUGGGCGUAAAGAGCUUGUAGGUGGCUUGUCGCGUCUGCCGUGAAAACCCGAGGCUCAACCUCGGGCGUGCGGUGGGUACGGGCAGGCUAGAGUGUGGUAGGGGAGACUGGAACUCCUGGUGUAGCGGUGAAAUGCGCAGAUAUCAGGAAGAACACCGAUGGCGAAGGCAGGUCUCUGGGCCAUUACUGACACUGAGAAGCGAAAGCAUGGGGAGCGAACAGGAUUAGAUACCCUGGUAGUCCAUGCCGUAAACGUUGGGCACUAGAUGUGGGGAACAUUCCACGUUUUCCGCGUCGUAGCU